UUUGAUUCUGGCUCGGGUCGUUUGGCGGGAUGCUUUACACAUGCAAGUCGAACGGCAGCACGGACUUCGGUCUGGUGGCUGGCGAACAGGUGAGUAAUGUAUCAGGAACGUGCCUAGUAGCGGGGAUAACUACGCGAAAGCGUAGCUAAUACCGCAUACGCCCUUCUCGAAAGGGGAAAGCGGGGGGACCUUCGGGCCUCGCACUAUUAGAGCGGCCGAUAUCGGAUUAGCUAGUUGGUGGGGUAACGGCUCACCAGAGGCGACGAUCCGUAGCUGGUUUUGAGAGGACGACCAGCCACACUGGGACUAUGAGACACGGCCCAGACUCCUACGAAGGAGGCAGCAGUGGGGAAUUUUGGAUAAUGGAAGCCACGGUCAGCCAUCGCGUGGUAAUGCGAUGAAGGCCUUCGGGUUGUAAGGCACUUUUGGCAGGAAAGAAACGGCACGGGAUAAUACCCCGUUACAGCGGCGAACACCCCAGAAUAGCGCGGCUAACUACGUGCCGGCAGCCGCGGUAAUGCAGUAAGGUUUUCGAAGCAUUAAUCGGAAUUACUGGGCUGUAGCGUGCGAGCGGUUCGGAAAAGAAGAUGUGAAAUCCCAGAGCUUAACUUUGAAGGAACGCAUUUCCUUCACAGGCUGGUGUGUCAGAGGGAGGUGGAAUUCCGCGUGUAGCAGUGAAAUGCGUAGAUAUGCGGAGGAACACCGAUGGCGAGCGGGAUAACACUGACGCUCAUGCACAGCGUGAGGGGAGCAAACAGAGUUAGAUACCCUGGUAGUCCACGCCCUAAACGUGUCAACUAACUGUUGGGGCCUUCGGUGGUAGCUCAUGCUUGCGUGAAGUUGACCGCCUGGGAUACGGUGCAGGGCAAAACUCAAAGGAAUUGACGGGGACCCGCACAAGCGGUGGAUGAUGGAUUCUAAUUCGUUGCAACUGCGAAAAACCUUACCUACCCUUGACAUGUCUGAUCCCGAAGAGAUUUGGGAGUGCUCAUAAGGAACCAGGAACUGGAGUGCUGCGGCUGCAUCGUCAGCUCCUGCGUGUCGUGAGAUGUUGGGUUAAGUCCGCAACGAGCGCAACCCUUGUCAUUAGUUGCUACGAGGGCACUCUAAUGGAACUGCCGGUGACAAACCGGAGGAAGGUGAGGAUGACGUCAAGUCCUCAUGGCCCUUAUGGGUGAGGGCUUCACACGUCAUACAAUGGUCGGGACAGAGGGUCGCCAAGCUGCGGGGGGGCGUCCCAGAAACCCGAUCAAUGAGGUCUGGAUCGCAGUCUGCAACUCGACUGCGUGAGGUGAAUCGCUAGUAAUCGCGGAUCAGCAUGUCGCGGUGAAUACGUUCCCGGGUCUUGUACACACCGCCCGUCACACCAUGGGAGUGGGUUUUGCAAGUAGUUAGCCUAACCGUAAGGAGGGCGAUUACCACGGUAAGUUUGCUGGCCCCGAGGAACGAAGUCGUAACAAGGUAA
rnacentral:rRNA from 1 species